rnacentral:rRNA from 1 species
UACGAAGGGGGCUAGCGUUGUUCGGAAUUACUGGGCGUAAAGCGCACGUAGGCGGACUACUAAGUCAGGGGUGAAAUCCCGGGGCUCAACCCCGGAACUGCCUUUGAUACUGGUAGUCUCGAGUCCGGAAGAGGUGAGUGGAAUUCCGAGUGUAGAGGUGAAAUUCGUAGAUAUUCGGAGGAACACCAGUGGCGAAGGCGGCUCACUGGUCCGGUACUGACGCUGAGGUGCGAAAGUGUGGGGAGCGAACAGG